rnacentral:lncRNA from 1 species
UUUCCCAAAUAUUUGUAACUCAACCCAAUAGAACACUUCCAUCUCAACUUCCACGUCUUCAAACACCAUCAUUCACUGCAUAACAAAAUUGUGCGUGUGGGUCAACCUGUGAAUCCCGCCAUCCAAGAUUAUACAGGAUGGACCCAAAAUUCAAUAUAAUGAUGGACUCUUAGUUUACUCAAUUUGCUAUUUGUUCGCCACUGUGCUUUUCCUUUUUUGUCCACGUUUAACUGCAUGCAGAUCACCG